CGAGGGUUCCACGUCGCAUUUCUGGCAUAACGGCGUACUGGGAGACGUGCUUCAACUUAUACUUACACCGUCGGCAUCGAUCUCGGAGAACGACAUAGAGGACUGUUACUACGAAGCGGAAUAUUAUGGAUUGGAGGACAAAUGCACUCAUUAUAACCACGACUGCCCUUUUAGUCUGCUUGAUUUUAUUUCACUGUCAAUAAAUAGUCAUGAAUAGUUAGCAUAGUAUAUAGCAAUUUUA